CUCCGUGUAGCUCAAUAGUGCAGAGCGCCUGAUUUGGGAUCAGGAGGUUUGAGGUUCGAGUCCUCACAUGGAGACCA
rnacentral:tRNA from 2 species